rnacentral:lncRNA from 1 species
AGGGGGGUGAUUAUAACUCGAGGGCUAAAUAACAAUGAUGUUUGUGAGAUGCCAUCAUCAGUGUAUGUAUCUCGAACUUGACCACUGGCUAUAGUUGGUAUUCGUCAUGUGCACCACAUCUGACCCAAGGAAAGCAACUUCACUCCUGGGGAAGAGGAUUGGGGGAUGGAAGUGACAUGUAUAAAGAGCAAGCAUCGAAUACAAGCUGCUUUCGGGCCAAAUGCCUCGGAAGGAAGAGAAAGUGACACCCUUAAUGUUCGAGGAAGGGAAGGAGGGAAAGGUGAUGGAAGGC